UCAACUUUUCUAAAUAAUCUCUUAAUUCACAAUUUACCACAAUUAAUGUACACGCAUUCUGAUUCAAAAUUAGAAUAAAAAUUACAGGAUCUUUUCAAAAUCAAAAUGACACCCCUCAUCAGCUUCCUUUAAAAUGUAACUCAGUGUAAAUGCAAUGAGAAUCAUUAAUUUAGCGUCUUCACAUUGAUUUAGACGUGCAAUUAAGCGGGGAGAAAGAACGAACAAAGUACGAUACUACUCAUACAGUUAAUGGUGUAAUUUGGCGCAUAAAUUGAAAUGUUAUUGAAAGGAGUUUAAGACCUAGAAGACUUGCGUUAAUAAUUCAUCCACACAUCUCAAAAAGUCUAUUCAGCCGUGACAGGUGAUCCAAGAUUUUGACCUAGAUAAGAGCGGGAACCCCGUACAGUUUACAACGGACGUUUAUGACCACGAGACUGAGGCAUUUUAUGACAUACUUCGGCUUUAAUGCUGAGAGUUAUCUGUUUCUCCUGGUCUGCCUUUUGAAGAAAGCUGUCCCAGCAUACAUUAAUUGUCAAUAUUUGCAUAUUUAUUUUUUCUAUGUAUAAAAUGAUGACAGACCAUAUUUUCCCCGCAUUUGCCACGGGAUCUGCAAGCCGCCAGGUAAGGCCCGGAAUAUCGCUGAUUUUUUUUUUUUUUUAGAUAUUGGAAUUAUUGCCCGGUUGGAUUUAUUUUGGACUACACUAUCAAAUUCAUUGGCAUGAGCUGUGAUAGGACUAUUUUUCAUCUGCAUUACCAGUUAAUGUGUCCUGGUGUUUUCAUCGGAUCGAAAAUAACAAAAAUCACAAAUUCGUUUCAUUUGAAGUAUUUUAAUUAUCAAAUCCUUUAUUUCUAAUAAGAUAUAAUGAGACGUAUAAAAUUGAAUAUUCAUGUUCUGUUGACUUUUUAAAUGUAGUUUGAUAAUACAGUUGUUGUUUGUUUAUUCGUUGUUUGUUUUCGAAUUUUGAAAUCGUUUGUAUAGCCAUUGUGUGUUUUUAUAUAUUCAUUAAUAUGAAUGUUUUAAUACGUGUCUUGUGUUGUUGUUUCAUACCUAAUUCUACACCAGCAUCUGUGUGUUGUAUCUCCAGCAUCCAUGCCUCUAACACUUACCCCACGGUAACUAAUCUCGCUGUGACAAUGUUCGAACAUGUUUAUAAAUGUUACAUUCAAAUGCAAUAAAGUAAAGAUGUGGGUAAACUAGGUGGUGGUGAUGAAGUUCGUUGUUUAGUUGUCUGUGACGUGUGCAUUGGUGAAUUGGCCGGGUACGCAGAUAAUCUGUGACGUCAUACUGAAUCUAACUUGGAAUGAAAAGAAUUGAGACUGAUCUUCAAUCUUACAGAAAAUGAGACGAGAAAUCUGUUUAUUACUCGUUCUGUCCCUUCUCGGACAAUCACUAUCACAAACCACCACUGGCACGUGGGGAGUUGCUGACACUAUCGGCAGAUUUGUUGGUAGUUAUCCUCUGCUGGCACUGGCAGGAAUUGCUCCAUUUUUAGCCGCUAACAGCUUAGGGCCGAAUCCCUCUGGGUUAGGGCUAAGCAGACCGCCAUUUCCACCACCACCACCAUUCUUCAGAAGGCGAAUGUUUCCCAUGAUGCCAUUUAUCGGCCGUCCGCCGCCCCCAAUUGUUAUCAUACGACGAGGUUAACAAACGUGCGGCUGACGUGAAUCAUUCAACCGAGACAAGGAACUGAUUCAUUUUCUGACGUACUUCCGGUGUACAUUUCAUCACACUUGCGUCCUGUGUCAACUGUUUGAUUGGUGGAGUUGUGUUAUAUCAAUAUUUAUACAUUUCUUUCUAUCCUAAAAGAAAGCUAUAAUUUUACACUGUAUACGUCACUCUAUUUUUGGGCUGUCUUGUAUUACGCAAAAAUCUUCUGUAUAUUAUAUACAAUUGUUAACCGCGAGUCUAUCGGGCAUUAUAUUUCGCUGUUGUAAUUUUAUGACAGUCCUAAAUGUAUUAUGCACACAUUUCAAAUUGAAAUUUGUUGUGAAAUAAAUAUUUUAUAAAAC